CUGAAUAUGGGGGGACCAUCCUCCAAGGCUAAAUACUCCUGACUGACCGAUAGUGAACCAGUACCGUGAGGGAAAGGCGAAAAGAACCCCUGUGAGGGGAGUGAAAUAGAACCUGAAACCGUGUACGUACAAGCAGUAGGAGCACCUUCGUGGUGUGACUGCGUACCUUUUGUAUAAUGGGUCAGCGACUUAUAUUCAGUGGCAAGGUUAACCGUAUAGGGGAGCCGUAGCGAAAGCGAGUCUUAACUGGGCGCUCAGUCUCUGGAUAUAGACCCGAAACCGGGUGAUCUAGCCAUGGGCAGGUUGAAGGUUGAGUAACAUCAACUGGAGGACCGAACCGACUAAUGUUGAAAAAUUAGCGGAUGACUUGUGGCUAGGGGUGAAAGGCCAAUCAAACUCGGAGAUAGCUGGUUCUCCCCGAAAGCUAUUUAGGUAGCGCCUCGGACGAAUACUACUGGGGGUAGAGCACUGUUAAGGCUAGGGGGUCAUCCCGACUUACCAACCCUUUGCAAACUCCGAAUAC
rnacentral:rRNA from 1 species